GACUCCGAACUAAACUGUGGCGUUUAUCGUCGCGCUUCCCCUAAAAAGGAAUAGGUUCGGAGUUUUUC
rnacentral:ncRNA from 1 species